UUAGAGGUGAUGAUCCUUUCCCCAAAUGAUCGACUUUGAUUAUACUGUGCGUUUUUUUAUUCUCUUUCUAGAGAAUUUAGCCAGAAAUCUGAUCCAU
rnacentral:snoRNA from 1 species